GAUGAACGCUGGCGGCGUGCCUAAUACAUGCAAGUCGAGCGAACAGACGAGGAGCUUGCUCCUCUGACGUUAGCGGCGGACGGGUGAGUAACACGUGGAUAACCUACCUAUAAGACUGGGAUAACUUCGGGAAACCGGAGCUAAUACCGGAUAAUAUAUUGAACCGCAUGGUUCAAUAGUUAAAGACGGUUUUGCUGUCACUUAUAGAUGGAUCCGCGCCGCAUUAGCUAGUUGGUAAGGUAAUGGCUUACCAAGGCAACGAUGCGUAGCCGACCUGAGAGGGUGAUCGGCCACACUGGAACUGAGACACGGUCCAGACUCCUACGGGAGGCAGCAGUAGGGAAUCUUCCGCAAUGGGCGAAAGCCUGACGGAGCAACGCCGCGUGAGUGAUGAAGGUCUUCGGAUCGUAAAACUCUGUUAUUAGGGAAGAACAAAUGUGUAAGUAACUAUGCACGUCUUGACGGUACCUAAUCAGAAAGCCACGGCUAACUACGUG
rnacentral:rRNA from 1 species